UACGUAGGGCGCCAGCGUUAUCCGGAAUUAUUGGGCGUAAAGAGCUCGUAGGCGGUUUGUCGCGUCUGCUGUGAAAACUCGGGGCUUAACCCCGGGCCUGCAGUGGGUACGGGCAGACUAGAGUGCGGUAGGGGAGACUGGAAUUCCUGGUGUAGCGGUGAAAUGCGCAGAUAUCAGGAGGAACACCGGUGGCGAAGGCGGGUCUCUGGGCCGAAAUUGACGCUGAGGAGCGAAAGCGUGGGGAGCAAACAGG
rnacentral:rRNA from 1 species